rnacentral:rRNA from 1 species
GAUGAACGCUGGCGGCGUGCCUAAUACAUGCAAGUCGAGCGAAUGGAUUAAGAGCUUGCUCUUAUGAAGUUAGCGGCGGACGGGUGAGUAACACGUGGGUAACCUGCCCAUAAGACUGGGAUAACUCCGGGAAACCGGGGCUAAUACCGGAUAACAUUUUGAACCGCAUGGUUCGAAAUUGAAAGGCGGCUUCGGCUGGCACUUAUGGAUGGACCCGCGACGCAAUAGCUAGUUGGUGAGGUAACGGCUCACCAAGGCAACGAUGCGUAGCCGACCGGAGAGGGUGAGCGGCCACACUGGGACGGAGACACGGCCCAGACUCCUACCGGAGGCCGCAGUAGGGAAUCUUCCGCAAGGGACGAAAGUCUGACGGAGCAACGCCGCGUGAGUGAUGAAGGCUUUCGGGUCGUAAAACUCUGUUGUUAGGGAAGAACAAGUGCUAGUUGAAUAAGCUGGCACCUUGACGGUACCCAACCAGAAAGCCACGGCUAACUACGUGCCAGCAGCCGCAGUAA